rnacentral:rRNA from 1 species
AACGAACGCUGGCGGCAGGCUUAACACAUGCAAGUCGAACGCCCCGCAAGGGGAGUGGCAGACGGGUGAGUAACGCGUGGGAACAUACCCUUUCCUGAGGAAUAGCUCUGGGAAACUGGAAUUAAUACCGCAUACGCCUUACGGGGGAAAGAUUUAUCGGGGAAGGAUUGGCCCGCGUUGGAUUAGCUAGUUGGUGGGGUAAAGGCCUACCAAGGCGACGAUCCAUAGCUGGUCUGAGAGGAUGAUCAGCCACAUUGGGACUGAGACACGGCCCAAACUCCUACGGGAGGCAGCAGUGGGGAAUAUUGGACAAUGGGCGCAAGCCUGAUCCAGCCAUGCCGCGCGAGUGAUGAAGGCCUUAGGGUUGUAAAGCUCUUUCACCGAUGAAGAUAAUGACGGUAGUCGGAGAAGAAGCCCCGGCUAACUUCGUGCCAGCCGCCGCCGUAAGAC